UCCUCUUCCACUAGAGUUCAGUUUUCUUACGAACUCCAAUAAUUUAUUGUCUCGAAAAAAUAGAAGUCGAUCGAGUAUCUUCCCUGCAAAGUAGUGUCAACAAGUGAUGGAUGAGCAAGGUUCUUCCAGAGGUUAAGAUCCUUCACUGGCUAAAUCAUCUCCUUAAAUCUUCCAUGAAGAUGAUAAUCAGAGCUUAGCUCUUUCCUACAUCGGCUCUUCAACACAGGUC